UUUAGUCGAUGCGGGACGUUGAAC
rnacentral:siRNA from 1 species